rnacentral:rRNA from 1 species
AUUGAACGCUGGCGGCAUGCCUUACACAUGCAAGUCGAACGGCAGCACGGGAGCUUGCUCCUGGUGGCGAGUGGCGAACGGGUGAGUAAUACAUCGGAACGUACCCAGUAGUGGGGGAUAACGCACCGAAAGGUGCGCUAAUACCGCAUACGACCUACGGGUGAAAGCGGGGGACCGUAAGGCCUCCCGCUAUUGGAGCGGCCGAUGUCUGAUUAGCUAGUUGGUGAGGUAAAGGCUCACCAAGGCUUCGAUCAGUAGCUGGUCUGAGAGGACGAUCAGCCACACUGGGACUGAGACACGGCCCAGACUCCUACGGGAGGCAGCAGUGGGGAAUUUUGGACAAUGGGCGAAAGCCUGAUCCAGCAAUGCCGCGUGUGCGAAGAAGGCCUUCGGGUUGUAAAGCACUUUCGUCAGGGAAGAAAUCUUUUAGGCUAAUACCCUGGAAGGAUGACGGUACCUGAAGAAUAAGCACCGGCUAACUACGUGCCAGCAGCCGCCGUAA